rnacentral:tRNA from 1 species
UGGGAUAUCGCCAAGCGGUAAGGCAGCGGCUUUUGAUGCCGCCAUACCCUGGUUCGAAUCCAGGUAUCCCAG